GACGAACGCUGGCGGCGUGCUUAACACAUGCAAGUCGAACGAUUGGCGAACGGGUGAGUAAUACGUGAGUAACCUGCCCUCUUUUUGGGAUAAGCCUUGGAAACGGGGGCUAAUACCGGAUAAAGGGGGAUGGGAUCGGGGCCUGUCAGUUUGUUGGUGGGGUAAUGGCCUACCAAGGCGGUGCCGGGUAGCCGGCCUGAGCGGGUGAACGGCCACAGUGGUACGGAGAAACGGCCGAGACGAGUACGCGGGGGAGCAGUGGGGGAUAUGGCACAAUGGGUGACAGCCUGAUGCAGCGACGCCGCGGGGGGGAUGAAGGCUGUCGGGUUGUAAACCUCUUUCGCUAUAGAAGGGUACGUGAAGAAGAAGCGCCGGCUAACUACGUGCCAGCAGCCGCGGUAAUUC
rnacentral:rRNA from 1 species